ensembl:lncRNA DAXX death domain associated protein
CAGGAUGGCAGAGGAAGGUGAUGUGGACGAGGCGGAUGUGUUCCUGGCAUUUGCCCAGGGUCCCUCCCCUCCCAGGGGUCCCGUGCGACGUGCCUUGGACAAGGCUUUCUUUAUCUUCCUGGCCCUCUUCCUGACACUGCUGAUGCUGGAGGCUGCUUAUAAGCUGCUGUGGUUACUACUAUGGGCAAAGUUAGGGGACUGGCUCCUGGGGACACCUCAGAAGGAGGAGGAGCUGGAAUUGUGACCACCUUUCCUAUAAACAUCUUCUUUCCCCACCAAGGAG